UACAGAGGUCCCGAGCGUUGUUCGGAUUCAUUGGGCGUAAAGGGUGCGUAGGCGGCGGGGCAAGUCUGAUGUGAAAUCCGGGGGCUCAACCCCAGAACUGCAUUGGAUACUGCCUUGCUAGAGUACUGGAGAGGGAACUGGAAUUUACGGUGUAGCAGUGAAAUGCGUAGAGAUCGUAAGGAAGGCCAGUGGCGAAGGCGAGUUCCUGGACAGUUACUGACGCUGAGGCACGAAGGCCAGGGGAGCAAACGGG
rnacentral:rRNA from 1 species